GGGUACUAUGCAAACAAAAAAAGCGCAAAAAGUGUUCCAGCCAAUAAACGACAAAAAGGAUUUGGGAGUGGGGGUUGGGCAGGUUCAUGAAAGCACGGAAGGGAGGGAAGGAGUUAGCUAGGCUCCGUUUUGUUUGACAACACUUCGAACAUCAACAAGAAGUGACAUUACACAAAUUUGCUUAGAGCACCUUGAACAAGUCAAGUAGCAUCAAUGUUACCUUUUUUAUGGUAAGUUUUAUAACCACCUUGAUAGAUAGGGAGGUAAACUGUAUUAAAAAUUCUACUUAUGAGUACAGUUGCACUGUUUGCAUACAUUUGAGUAGCAAGUAGUCUGAACUUCUUUGUAUUUCUCAAUAAAAUAAAAUUCAUUUAAGGACCUUGUCUCAAAGAAGAAUUUAUUUAUUUUGGGCAAAGACAUAUACACUGUAAACCCGAAUGCUCAAAGUAAUUAAUUGUAUUUAGUACUGUUAACUUAAAUCAUUAAAAUUAGUUCAAAUUAAUUAACCUUGUUGAGUAUUUAGAACUUUCAGAUAUUUAUGAGUUUGUAAAAAUGAAACUUUUUAAGUUAGAUGAAUACAUGUUGUUUUUUAAUUUGCACUAACUGUCUCUUUAAUGUACUCCAACUUAAAAUCCCUCAGUUUAGAGAUUUUGCAUCUGACGUCAUCCGUGUUCACGUAAGCUGCUCGCGUUGAGUUCUUCUUCUCAAGAUGACGGAUCGGUCGCUUCAUGGGGUGCUAUAAGUAUCACCUUUAAACUCAAUGGGCCCUAUUUUAAUGAUCUAAGCGCAUUGUCUAAAGCGCACAGCGCAACGUCUAAAUGGGUGUGUCCGAAUCCACUUUUGCUAAUUUAAUGAUGGGAAAAAUGGUUUGGGCGCCGAGCGCAUGGUCGAAAAGAGUUGGUCCUAUUGUAAUGAGAGUAUUUUGGGCGUAACGUGCAAUAAACCAAUGAGAAUCUCAGCUCUCAUCCCCUUUAAAAGCCUGUUGCGCUGGCGCUAUGUCUAAUUCCUAUUUAGAUGACGGACUUUGUAAACUGAAAAACUAAGCGGAGGAAAAAGAUCCCCAGUUUAAGAUUAAUGUUAAAUUAUUUUGUUGUUUUUCACUUGUAUUGAAAUGGUUAUUUUUUAUUAAAACCUUUAAAAAUCGUUUUCUUUUAGUCAUGGAAGUAAAAAAGUUGGCUUGUAAUUGCCUUAAAUGUAUGGCUAUCCAAAAUCAUCAAAAAAUAAUUUACAAGUAUGUAAGAAAAGGUUUGUACUCUAAAAAUACUUUAUUUGUAACAAACAGGCGAUAAAGAAUUUACAAACGGCUCUCCGCACGUUCGUUUCAGCAUUUGGACAGCGUUUUUUUUUUUAGCAAAGAGUUUUUUUAAGCAUUACUUAAAAAUGUUUCUCAUCUCAUUAUAUCCACAGGUACAGAGUCAUCAUAUACAAUAAAUCCGUGAGGUAGCAUUUAAAAAAAAACAUUUAAAAACAGAUGCAUUUGUUUAAAGCAAAGCAUUUAUUUACUUACCAGGCUGCAGGUGAAGCAGCUCUUUGCACCUUCUAACGUCUCAUAAUUAGUCCUCAUUUAUGUCCAAGAGACUCAAUAAUAAUCUUUUACAUUCAAUCCUUUAAUCUUUCAUAUUUAAAAAAGUUUUUGUGCUGCUGCGCAUUCAUGUACUAUGUGAUAAGCAAACCCGCGUUGUCCUCCCGUUUAUAGGCGCAUAUUACUAAUGCGCUCUUUAAAUAACAAAAACAUAUUGCGCCAUUGACUUUAGAGCAGGUUUUUUUGGUCAAUGGCGUAGUCUAUUUUAGUUGCCUCAAAAUAGCAACGUGCCAACAAUGCGCCUGAACACACCUCGUUUUCAGACCAGAACGCCCAUGGCGCAAAAGGGGGCGCAAAUGCAUUUGCUAUUUAAACAACGUGGCGCUAAACGUGAAAAUGAUAAUUGCGCAAGGUGGAAACAAACAAAAGACACUUGCAUCGCGCUGCAUUGCGGCAGGUGUAAUAUAGAGCCCAAUGUAUCAAUUCUAAAGGCCAUUAUGUUUACUUUUCAUGUACGUAAUUGUGUUUAGAUGUAGAUAUAAUAUUUUUAGAUGCGUUGUAACAUUGUUGCUGUCUUUUGUGAGUAAUGCCAUAUUUGGCUAGGGAAUUUAGUGACUGCAGUACUGGAAGAUUCCAGUAGGGGGCGUGGACAGGUGACAAGAGUCAAGCACGCGUUCCUUUAGUAUCAUAGAACAGGGCUAUUCAAUUAGUUUUUUGUGGGGGCCAGUUCAUGAAAAGCAUCUCAAAUGAGGGGCCGGAGAUAUAUCAGUGAUGAUGACUACAUUUUCCAACAUUUAAACAUACUAAUGUUAUAUUUUGAAACUGCAUAAAAACAAAAUCAGUGCAUUGCACAAUAGGCUUUUUCUACAAACAUGUAUUUUGAAACUGCAUUCAACAACAUUAGUGCAUUGUUAGAUGUCUAAGUAGGCUUUUUCUACAUUCAGACGUGUUUAUAUGUGUUGUAAAAUUGCAUAACAACAUAAGUGCAUUGUAAGAUGCCCAAGUUAGCUUUAUUCUACAUUUAAAGGGUAAAUAAGAGCCAUAUCACACUCAUUGAGAAUUUAACUAAUUUACUCACUUAAGUACACAUAACAAAAAAGUUUAUAAUAUGGAACAUAACAUUGUUUUAUGCUGUUUUUUGUGAAAGCUAAUUAUUUCACUACUCCUAUUUAAACCACAACAGCCAUCUUAAUAAUUGGGAAACAUUAGGCUAGCUUCUAAUAAGACAGAAUAUGUUUGUAGAUUGCGCAAGAGCAGUGAAACAGGUGUAUGUUUGUCAGCACGAUACGCAUACAGUGGUGCAGGUGCUGGGCUGUGAGCGAUGGGCGAUUAAAUGUUACUCGUUUUAAUUGCAUUCUUGUGUGAGAACGAUGACUCACAUAAUAUUUGAGCCUUUGUCUGCUUUGAAUUUUGGAGAAAUGGCAGGAUCUUUUUUUCUAGUUCACAAAAUCAUUUCAACGAGUUUCCUUUAUUAAGACAUCUAACGUAAAUGUCACUGUGGAUAAGCAAAUCAUCACUGAGCUGACAUAUCAGACAACAAUUGUCUGAAAAGGCAGAGUUUUUAAGUUCUUUUCCGGUCCGGGCGGAAACACUUCCGGGCGGAACCAACCUUCCAUAACUUCGGUUCCGCCCCUGAAAAGAUCGUUACCAUGUGACACGUCUACAGCAAUACAUAUAAAUCGCUAUAUAAAUGCCUCAUUCAUCCAUUUUUGUUUCCUGGGCACAGAUUUCUCUGGGCAACACUGCUGUUCAAGUGAGCAAAAGCUGCUUUAGACGACUCAACCGUAGCAGGAUGUCCCUGUUUACGCAGGAACUGGCUGUUUUGCUGUUUGGAAGGGAUGUUCUGGGAUCAUCUAGCCUCACUGGGAGUGGGUCGCAGAAAAACAAGCUAGACUCAGAGAAAGUCAAUGCACUUAUUGACACGGUGAUGUCCGAGUUUCCUGGCACUUCCCUCUCGGAGGUGGGUGUGGGCAAAGAAAACUGACUGUGGUGCCACCUGAGUCUGAGGGCUAAACAACCAAAUCUUUAAAAGCAGCAUCAAGCAAUGGCAAGAUCACACUCUACAUUGUUCCACUGCAAGACACCAUUGACAGUUCACCAUUACCCCCACAUGCAGCAGAAUAAUUUGAAAAGAUGCCCAAAUCCGUUUGUAAGAAAUGUGGGGUUACCAUGCCACUUCAAGUUUUGGCUCUGCACAUUGAAAAUUGUGCCAUAGAGUGCUUUCAUUAUCAACUCAUUUGAAGCGUAUUGUAUUUGCUUAUUACAGGAACUAUGUCCAGUUUGUGGAAGGUCUUUUCCUGAAGACAUGAUUGAAU